rnacentral:lncRNA from 1 species
CUCAUGAGGUGUAUAUGUUCUAUAUCUUUCAGAAAUCUGAGGAGGAGGAGAAAUAUUUCUCUUUUCCUUCUCUAAAGAAUAAUCCUGAUUGGUGCAGGAGGAUUAUAAA